UUUUCUAGGUCUUUAUGACCAAGUGUUUUGUCUCUAGCUUGGUUUAUGUUUUGUCUUGUUCCAUGCAUGUGGGGUUUUUUUUCUGCAGAUCAUGCACUGUGACGUUUUUGAGGCUUCUACACAAAUUUUAGCCAUUGGCAUAUCUGGAAAUCUGUGAUAGAGUCAGAAGCUGGGAAAAGAUGAUGGAGCACUACCUACCUGUCCUUUACUGAGGAAACAGAGGGAUAGACAGCUGUGUCAACGUUGCCAUGGUGAAUAAGAUUAGUACAUUCAGCAUCAAUGAAUACUAAAAAGACAAUGACGUACCACAGUGAAAUCCAGGGCUGAGGUGGCUGCAGGAUAUUUUUCCAAGAAAACAACAAUGGAAGACAGAGCUGCUCAGCAACACUGAAGGUUAAAUCAGUGAUUCAAAUGCCUGAACUAUGUAUUUAGGUGCCUUACAAUAUGAAACAACCUUAAAAUAUUCUUUCAUAUUUUGUAUUUCACAAAUAUACAUUUAAUAAAACAUCACUCUAAUCUA